CUACGGGCCGCACCAGUGAGGAAUAUUGGACAAUGAGGAAACUCUGAUCCAGCCAUGCCGCGUGAGUGAAGAAGGCCUUAGGGUUGUAAAACUCUUUCAGUGGGGAAGAUAAUGACGGUACCCACAGAAGAAGCCCCGGCUAACUCCGUGCCAGCAGCCGCGGUAAUACGGAGGGGGCUAGCGUUAUUCGGAAUUACUGGGCGUAAAGCGCAUGUAGGCGGUUUGGAAAGUUGGGUGUGAAAUCCCGGGGCUCAACCCCGGAACUGCACUCAAAACUAUCAGACUAGAGUUCGGUAGGGAGUAGUGGAAUUCCUAGUGUAGCAGUGAUAUGCGUAGAUAUUAGGAGGAACACCAGAGGCGAAGGCGACUGCUUGGACCGAUACUGACGCUGAGAUGCGAAAGCGUGGGGAGCGAACGGGAUUAGAUACCCGGGUAGUC
rnacentral:rRNA from 1 species